UUGACCCUCGAAUCAGGUAGGAAUACCCGCUGAACUUAAGCAUAUCAAUAAGCGGAGGA
rnacentral:rRNA from 1 species